CAGCCUGAAAUGAUGAUUCACAUUCAUGUCUCUUCUCUGAGAUUUCUUCUGGAGAAAAUAUGGUGUAACUGAUCAGGCUU
rnacentral:snoRNA from 1 species